rnacentral:rRNA from 1 species
UACGAAGGGGGCUAGCGUUGCUCGGAAUGACUGGGCGUAAAGGGCGCGUAGGCGGAUGACACAGUCAGAUGUGAAAUUCCCGGGCUUAACCUGGGGGCUGCAUUUGAUACGUGUUGUCUAGAGUGAGGAAGAGGGUUGUGGAAUUCCUGGUGUAGCGGUGAAAUGCGUAGAUAUCAGGAGGAACACCUGUGGUGUAGACAGCUUACUGGACCACUUCUGACGCUGAGACACGAAAGCGUGGGUAGCAAACAGG